AACCCGUUGAUGUUGCAAUAUCAUGGGAUGACUUGUGGAUAGUGGUAAUAUGCCAACCGAACCUGGAGAUAGCUGGUUCUCCCCGAAAGGUCUAUAGGGACCGUGCCGGGCGAGGCGUUAUUGGGGGUAGAGCUACUGGAUGGAUAAGGGAGGGCAACCAACUUUAUUCAACCAAACUCCGAAUACCAAUGUACGCUAUCCCGGUAGACAGCCACAUCGGGCUAAGCUGAUGUGACUAAAGGGAAACAACCCAGACUCUCGGCUAAGGUCUUUAAGUUUCCGCAGAUUUUUCUGCGGCGGUGAUUGCGAGUUUCUCGCUUUCGCUGCAGCUAAGUUUGAAAGGAAGUUUUCUUCUUCAGACAGCUAGGAGGUUGGCUCAGAAGCAGCCAUCCUUUAAAGAAAGCGUAACAGCUCACUAGUUGAAGGAGAAAGCGCCUAAAAUUUAUCGAGGAUAAGCUGAACACCGAAGCCAGAGACCUCGUCCUUUGGACGAGCAGAUUCGAAGUAUUGAUAUCGAAAUUCUAGAAAAAUAUUUUUGUGUUUUUUAGAAUUUCGUAUUUAUAAUUUCGGAUUUUCUCGACCAGAGGUCGAGGUGGUAGGGGAGCGUUCCAAAAGCAGUGAAGCCAAAUCGUAAGGUUUGGUGGAGUUUUUGGAAGUGAGAAUGCCGGCAUGAGUAGCGUACAAUCUCGGUGAGAAUCCGAGACGCCGAACACCCAAGGUUUCCGCUCAGACGUUCGUCGGGAGCGGGUUAGUCGGUACCUAAGGCAAGUCCCGAUUGUAUCGGGAGUAGCUGAUGGAUGACUGGUUAAAAUUCCAGUAUUUAUUUUGAAUCGCCAAACCUUGUGCUUCGCACAAGGAAAUUCCAAUACAACAAUCAACAAACAACAAACAACUGUCAACAACCAAACAAAUUACAAAACUUUUAUAAUUUGAAGUUUUGGGUAUUGUUUGUGAUUUGGAAUUUGUAAUUUGGGAUUUUCUUGAGCGAAGCUCAAGGUAGCUGGGGGUUGACAGGACGGGAUGUCCAAGGCCUACUUGUGAAUAUAGUAGGUGCAAGCUGUGAGGAAGGGUGGGUUGGAAAAUCCGCUUACCUGUUUAUUCAAGCAGCGAUGCAAAGUCUUGCGAGAGCAAGGCGAUUUUGGUGCAUUCUGUCUUUCAAAAAAGGCUCGCAGCGAGAUUCAAAGUAAGCCGUACCGUAAACCAACACAGGUGGGUUGGACGAGUAGUCUAAGGCGGGCGAGAGAAGGAGGCUUAAGGAACUCGGCAAACAAGCUGGACGUAAGUUCGCAAGAUGUCCUACCUCGGUGCGCAGCACCGAGCUACCAACUAACAACAACCAACAAUCAACGAAAUAAUUCUUGUUGUAGGUUGUCUGUUUUAUGUUGGUGGUUGAGUGCUGUGCACUUGGGGUCGAAGCUAAAGUUUGUCAGUCGACUGUUUAUCAAAAACACAGGUCCGUGCAAAGGCGUAAGCCGAAGUAUACGGGCUGACGCCUGCCCAGUGCCGGUAAGUUAAGGGGAGGUGUGCAUAGCACACAACUUUCAACAACCAACAAUCAACCGACAACUAAAGGGUUUGAGAUUGGGAGUUGAUGGCUGUGCGCUAUGCGCACCGAACUCAAGCUCCGGUAAACGGCAGCAGUAACUAUAACUGUUCUACGGUGGAACUAAGCCGCCGUAGUAAAACCUAGCUAUAUGCUGGAAAAUCCUGUUAUUCGAGAACUACUAUGGUAUAUUUUUUCUGUAGGGAAUGUAUACCAAGUAAAAAAGUUCAUCGUAGGGAUAAUCAGCAGGAAAGACCGAGUUUAGAAGUGAAAAGUUAGAUGUGUGAAGUUGGAUUUAUGAAACGAGAAUCGAGAUGGUUAGAUAGUUAUUAACUAAAGAAAAACUUAAUCUCAUCUCACACUUCAUUUUCCAUCUUCCCAUCUCACAUUUCUUAUUUCUAAAUCGGAAUCCUCAGAGACUAUACGCUGGGGCUUGAGAUUUUCUCAAGUAAGAUAUAGUCCGAUCUCCAAUGAGAAUUGGAGUUAACAUUUGAGCGAAGUUCCUUGUCGGGUAAGUUCCGACCUGCACGAAAGGCGUAACGAGCUGACAACUGUCUUAAGCCUUCACUCGGCGAAAUUGCGAUGGCUGUGAAGACGCGGCCUACUUCCACCAGGACAAAAAGACCCCGUGGAGCUUUACUGCAGUUUAGUAUUGAUUUGGGUGUUUCAAUUGUCAAGAAUAGGAGGGACCCCUCCUUUGGAGGGGAACAGUGUGAUACCUCUCUUUGAGGCACUGCAAAUCUUACCUGAGAACCUUGCAUACAGGUUCGGGGAAAGUGCUAGAUGGGCAGUUUUACUGGGGCGGUACCCUGCUAAAUUGUAACGCAGGGGCACAAAGGUCAGCUUGCUGCGAAUGAAAACCGCAGUGGACGUGCAAAGGCGUAAGCUGGCUUAACUGCGAGUGCGACGGCACAAGCAGGUGCGAAAGCAGGUCUUAGUGAUCCUCCGAUGUCAUGUGGGUGACGCGGAGCUUAACGGAUAAAAGCUACCCCGGGGAUAACAGAGUAGUCGCGCCCGAGCGUCCACAGCGACGGCGCGGAUCGCUACCUCGAUGUCGGCUCACCGCAUCCUGGGGCUGGAGAAGGUCCCAAGGGUUGGUCUGUUCGCCCAUUAAAGCGGUACGCGAGCUGGGUUCAGAACGUCGCGAGACAGUUCGGACUCUAUCCGGUGGAAGCGUUGAAUCUUGAGGGGAGCUCUCCUCAGUACGAGAGGACCAGGAGGGAGGAAUCCCUGGUGUUCCGGUUGUUGCGUCAGCAGCAUUGCCGGGUAGCCACAUUCCUUGCGGAUAACCGCUGAAAGCAUCUAAGCGGGAAGCCCACCCCAAGAUCAGGAUUCGUUAUAGACCCCUGGAAGAAUACCAGGUUAAUCGGCUGGCAGUGGAAGAGGCGUAAGCCUUUAAGCUUACCAGUGCGAAUUGGUCGAAGACCUUUUUCCUUUCCUAUUUUUCUCUUUCGCUUUGCCAAUG
rnacentral:rRNA from 1 species